rnacentral:rRNA from 1 species
UAACACGUGUGUGAUCUGCCCUGCACUUCGGGAUAAGCUUGGGAAACUGGGUCUAAUACCGGAUAUGAACGGUCUUUGGUGUGAUUGUUGGAAAGAUUUUUUCGGUGUGGGAUGAGCUCGCGGCCUAUCACCUUGUUGGUGGGGUAAUGGCCUACCAAGGCGUCGACGGGUAGCCGGCCUGAGAGGGUGUACGGCCACAUUGGGACUGAGAUACGGCCCAGACUCCUACGGGAGGCAGCAGUGGGGAAUAUUGCACAAUGGGCGCAAGCCUGAUGCAGCGACGCCGCGUGGGGGAUGAAGGCCUUCGGGUUGUAAACUCCUUUCGCUAGGGACGAAGCCUUUUAUUAGGUGACGGUACCUGGAUAAGAAGCACCGGCUAACUACGUGCCAGCAGCCGCGGUAAUACGUAUGGUGCAAGCGUUGUCCG